rnacentral:rRNA from 1 species
UACGUAGGGUGCGAGCGUUAAUCGGAAUUACUGGGCGUAAAGCGUGCGCAGGCGGUUUUGUAAGCCAGAUGUGAAAUCCCCGGGCUCAACCUGGGAAUGGCAUUUGGGACUGCAAGGCUGGAGUGCGGCAGAGGAGACUGGAAUUCCUGGUGUAGCAGUGAAAUGCGUAGAUAUCAGGAGGAAUACCGAUGGCGUAGGCAGGUCUCUGGGCUGACACUGACGCUCAUGCACGAAAGCGUGGGGAGCAAACAGG